UGGGGAAUCUUGGACAAUGGGCGCAAGCCUGAUCCAGCCAUGCCGCGUGCAGGAUGACGGUCCUAUGGAUUGUAAACUGCUUUUUGUACAGGAAGAAACAGUUCUACGUGUAGAACCUUGACGGUACUGUAAGAAUAAGGAUCGGCUAACUCCGUGCCAGCAGCCGCGGUAAUACGGAGGAUCCAAGCGUUAUCCGGAAUCAUUGGGUUUAAAGGGUCCGUAGGCGGUUAGAUAAGUCAGUGGUGAAAGCCCAUCGCUCAACGGUGGAACGGCCAUUGAUACUGUCUGACUUGAAUUAUUAGGAAGUAACUAGAAUAUGUAGUGUAGCGGUGAAAUGCUUAGAGAUUACAUGGAAUACCAAUUGCGAAGGCAGGUUACUACUAAUGGAUUGACGCUGAUGGACGAAAGCGUGGGUAGCGAACAGGAUUAGAUACCCCCGUAGUCCCUGAGCGGGCUGGCAAGGCGCAU
rnacentral:rRNA from 1 species